ensembl:lncRNA
AAAAGGAACUCUUAAGAUGUUGAGGUGAAAUUGACCACUUAUCUUUUUUUUUCAAACAUUUUAUUUAGGGGCAGCCUGGGUGGCUCAGCGGUUUGGCACCUGCCUUCGGCCCAGGGCGUGAUCCUGGAGUCCCAGGAUCGAGUCCCACAUCGGGCUCCCUGCAUGGAGCCUCCUUCUCCCUCUGCCUGCGUCUCUGCCUCUCUCUCUGUGUCUCUCAUGAAUAAAUAAAUAAAAUGUUUUUUAAAAAUAUUUUAUUUACUUACUCAUGAGAGAGAGAGAGAGAGAGAGAGAGAGGCAGAGACAUCAGGAGAGGGAGAAGCAGGCUCCCUGGAGGGAGCCCGAUGUGGGACUCGAUCCCGGGUCUCCAGGAUCAGGCCCUGGGCCAAAGGCAGGCACUAAACCACUGAGCCACCCAGGGAUCCCAACCGCUUAUCUUUUUAAGUUCCUCCAGUGCAAGGCCCCCUGCUUCUGAGUCGAGACCCUGCACAGUACUGCCAUGCUGUCUGGGGGGACCCGGACACCCCAAACUAUCACAGGUGAGUUCAUGCCCUUGAAAAUGUAUAUACUGACUCUUUAGGGGCACAGAAAUGUCUCCAGCUCACCUACAGAUAUUCAUUCUUGGCAGAUGCAGCCUCUUAAACCCAGAGUACAAGGGAGAGACUUGCCUGGGGGCAAAGGUGAGGGCAAUUUCUCAGAUUUGGGGAUCUGAAGAUCUCCAGCCUGCCUAGUCUUCUCCAAGACAAUUAGCACCAAAGUCACUUAAAGUGCUUCCUAACAAAUGUAAAUUCCUGAGCCCCUUCUCCCCUAGGGAAUUUAUUAAAUGGGGGGUGGGGGGGAGUGGCCAGGAGUCCCUAUUCUGACCAGCUGCCUAAAUGACCCUAAGGCCGACUAAAGAUAAAGACUGUCCACUCCUCACUCCCACUACCGUUUCCUAUUGUCCUCACCUGCUAAGCUAGAUGUUUCAUUUCACUCCGGGCCAGAUCCCUGAUGCCCAUCUCCGUGGUUAUGCAUUGUGGCCAGAGCAGGGUCCCCCACAACUGGUCCAGCCAGAUGGGCCUGGGGUCCGAGACACUGAUUUUCUCCUGUAUGUGUUGGUGGCCCACACUUCCAAAUGCCAUGGAGAGCCCUCUAUCAUAGCCUAUGCUGCCUGCUGCCAGCUGGACUCAGAAGACAGACCCCUCGCUGGCACCAUUGUCUACUGCGCCCAGCAUCUCACCAGCCCCAGCCUCAGCCAUCGUGACAUCGUCAUGGUGACUGCUGCAUGAUGAAUAGGAAGGCGCAAACAGGUUGGGGGAAGGGGGCAGGUCACUCAGCUUCCCAUGGAGUGGAAGAAUCUACUAGGGAUUGGAGGAGAAGCUGCCUCAACUCUAAGAAGAGCUGAUUGGGCAGAGGGACUAGAGAGUGGCUAGUCAAUCUGCUCCAUUCCCCCACCCCCCUCACCCUGCAGUCAUUUGUCCUUAGGUCACACUACACGAAUUGCUCCAUGCUCUGGGUUUCUCCGGACAGCUCUUCAAGAAGUGGCGGGAUUGCCCCUCGGGACCCAGCGGUAAAUGAGAGGAGUGAGGGCAAGCUUUCCUACGAUGUCAGCAAGAGGGGAUCACUACCAUACCACCAACUCCUUCCUUCCGGUGCUGCUCUACCCUUCCUAAGUCUUCCUCUUCUCAUAUAGUCUUCUUCGCUUUUUGUGCUCAGUUAGGGAGAACUGUUCCACAAGGCAACAAGUGACACGGCGAGAUGAGUGGGGACAGCUGCUUCUAACCACCCCAACUGUUAGCCACAGCCUGGCCAAACACUUGGGAGUGCCAGGGACUUCAGUGGGUGUUCCCUUGGAAGAAGAGGUGAGAAUGAGAACACCUGGGGGUGCUGGAAGGAACAGGGAGUAGACAGGUGGCAACCAGCUACCUCCUCCCUAGGGCCCUUUGUCUUCACACUGGGAGGCCCGAAUGCUCCAGGGUUCUAUAAUGACCGCUACCUUCGAUGGUGCCCGGCGCACUCGACUUGAUCCAAUCACUCUCGCUGCCUUCAGAGAUUCUGGCUGGUACCAAGUCAAUCACAGCGCUGCACAGGAGCUGUUGUGGGGCCAGGGUGAGAACAAGGAGAAUGGCAGAGGGGCCCUCGUGACCUGAGUCAGUUUGGGGGCAGUGAGAGAGAUUGGGAGGGAUUAUCUGCUGGUGUGAGGGAUGCUUGGGGCUUCGUUUGUUCUUUUUUUUUUUUUUUUAUGAUUUUAUUUAUUCAUGAGAGACACACAGAGAGACAGAGACACAG